CCUACGGGUGGCAGCAGUGAGGAAUAUUGGUCAAUGGCCGGGAGCCUGAACCAGCCAAGUCGCGUGAGGGAAGACGGCCCUACGGGUUGUAAACCUCUUUUGUCAGGGAGCAAGGUGCAGGUCGGGCCCUGCUGUGCGCGUACCUGAAGAAAAAGCAUCGGCUAACUCCGUGCCAGCAGCCGCGGUAAUACGGAGGAGUCGAGCGUUAUCCGGAUUUAUUGGGUUUAAAGGGUGCGCAGGCGGAGGCACAAGUCAGCGGUAAAAUCGCGGGGCUCAACCCCGCUCCGCCGUUGAAACUGUGUCCCUUGAGUGCGCGAAGGGUAGGCGGAAUGCGUGGUGUAGCGGUGAAAUGCAUAGAUAUCACGCAGAACUCCGAUCGCGAAGGCAGCCUACCGGCGCGCAACUGACGCUCAUGCACGAAAGCGUGGGUAUCGAACAGGAUUAGAUACCCUUGUAGUC
rnacentral:rRNA from 1 species